UGGGGAAUAUUGGACAAUGGGGGCAACCCUGAUCCAGCCAUGCCGCGUGAGUGAAGAAGGCCUUCGGGUUGUAAAACUCUUUUAGAUGAGAAGAUAAUGACGGUAUCAUCUGAAUAAGCACCGGCUAACUUCGUGCCAGCAGCCGCGGUAAUACGAAGGGUGCGAGCGUUGUUCGGAAUUACUGGGCGUAAAGGGCGCGUAGGCGGUUAAGAAAGAUAGAGGUGAAAUUCCAAGGCUUAACCUUGGAACUGCCUUUAUAACUAUUUAGCUAGAGUAUGGUAGAGGUAAGCGGAAUACCCAGUGUAGAGGUGAAAUUCGUAGAUAUUGGGUAGAACACCAGAAGCGAAGGCGGCUUACUGGGCCAUUACUGACGCUGAGGCGCGAAAGCGUGGGUAGCAAACAGG
rnacentral:rRNA from 1 species